GAUGAACGCUGGCGGUGUGCCUAACACAUGCAAGUCGAGCGAACACACAAUAAGAUCUUUCUCUUGCCGGUAGCGGCUGGCGGGCGAGUGAGACGUGCAUCACCAUCUACUUUUUCGUGGGUAACAACGUAGAGACGGUUACGCUACUGGAUCAUACGACCUACCGGUGGAAUCAAUAGAUCUUCGGACCUUUCGCGAUUCAAUUAGCCGGUGUCGGAUUAGCUAGUUGGCGGGGUAAGGGCCUACCAAGGCGACGAUGCGUAGCUGGUCUGAGAGGAUGAUCAGCCACACUGGAACUGAGACACGGUCCAGACUCCUACGGGAGGCAGCAGUGGGGAAUCUUCGACAAUGGGCGCAAGCUUGACGGAGCAAUACCGCGUGAGUGAAGAAGGCCUUCGGGUUGUAAAGCUCUGUUGUUGGGAAAGAAAAGAAGUGUGAGAAUAUCUUGCCGUCCUGACGGUACCCAAAGAAAAAGCCACGGCUAACUUCGUG
rnacentral:rRNA from 1 species